UACGGAGGGGGCUAGCGUUGUUCGGAAUUACUGGGCGUAAAGCGCACGUAGGCGGCUUUGCAAGUCAGAGGUGAAAGCCCGGGGCUCAACCCCGGAAUUGCCUUUGAGACUGCAUCGCUAGAAUUGUGGAGAGGUAAGUGGAAUUCCGAGUGUAGAGGUGAAAUUCGUAGAUAUUGGGAAGAACACCGAUGGCGAAGGCAGCCAUCUGGACCGACACUGACGCUGAGGCGCGAAAGCGUGGGGAGCAAACAGG
rnacentral:rRNA from 1 species